rnacentral:rRNA from 1 species
AGAACGAACGCUGGCGGCAUGCCUAAUACAUGCAAGUCGAACGCGUCUAGCAAUAGACGAGUGGCGGACGGGUGAGUAACGCGUGGGAACCUGCCCUUGAGUGCGGGAUAACCGAGGGAAACUUCGGCUAAUACCGCAUGCGCCCCCAGCGAUGGGGGGGAAAGAUUUAUCGCUCGAGGAGGGGCCCGCGUCGGAUUAGCUAGUUGGUGGGGUAACGGCCUACCAAGGCGAUGAUCCGUAGCUGGUCUGAGAGGAUGAUCAGCCACACUGGGACUGAGACACGGCCCAGACUCCUACGGGAGGCAGCAGUAGGGAAUAUUGGACAAUGGGGGCAACCCUGAUCCAGCAAUGCCGCGUGAGUGAUGAAGGCCUUAGGGUUGUAAAGCUCUUUCGCGCGCGACGAUGAUGACGGUAGCGCGAGAAGAAGCCCCGGCUAACUUCGUGCCAGCAGCCGC